AAGUCCAAUCAAUCCAGCCCAGCCGUUCGUCUGAUGCCCAGCGCUCGGCUGAGUUUUUUUACCGGCUAAUUAGCAAUUGCGUUCUUGAAUCGGAGACCAAGCUAGCUGCUAGGUAGGCAACGAAUGAAUCAUAUCCAAAAUUGAAGUAUUUGUAAAGGUGUAGUUAGAUUUCAGUUGACUUAGACUAAGUUGAGUGAUAUUAGCAUGUUUAUUUUUCAAAAAAAUCACCUUUUUUAUUUGGAUUUAUGCUUUCUAAAUUUUAAUACAUGAAUAUAUUUAUCAUUUUUUCAAUCGCGACUCAAUUAAUUGUUUUUAUCUCUCUAAAAACAUUCCAAUAUUUUAUAAUCCCUCUAAAAAUACAUGAAGACGGAGGAGGAUCUCAAAGAUAAAUAUUACUUCUGUACGUUAAUAUAAAACAUUUUUCAGUUUAGUUUACAGAGGGCGUAGUACAUAAUGUUGUUUAGUUGUUGUUUUAAAAAAAUUAUGUAAAAAAUUAUAAUAAAUUUAUGUGAUCAUGAUUUUUUUCAUGAAGACAUAUCUGUGGAUCGUGUAUUGCACGCGCGUUUUCAUUGUUGGGCAUGAGACAUAUUUCAAUGGCUCGGUAAAAAAAGCCCAGUAAUAAGAUUUAAAAUAGAUUUUUUUAAUUAUUAAUUAUAAUACGUGCGUUGCACGUGCACGCUUACUAGUAUAGGAAAGCUGCAGUAGGCUGCUGCGGUUUUGUUCAUGGUGCUACUGGUUUUGUUAAUGUUGGUAUUUGCUUACUGUUUACGACUGCUGCUACUAUGUACUCACUUUAUGAUAUGAAGAUAUGUAUGCUGUUGGCAAGGUUGAAAAAGUGGUAGGCGUAAGCGAGGCGGUUGGCCUUCGCCUAGUGCCUAAGCGCCCUAGGCGCGGCCUAGGCGGUAAUAUAGUUUUUACUCGUAGUAUAUUUGUGAUUAUUAUAUGGGUGUUGAUAUAAGUUUAGGGCAUAUAAAUAAGUUAAUUACCGUCUACUGCCAUUGGAAUAUAACCCAUUUGGCACAUCAGUGCAGUAUGUGGCAUGAUUUCUUGCUUAGGUAGACAAUUCCUUGCUUGCCCUGCCUAGACCUUCAUUUAUGCCUUAGGCGAGGCGUUUGGCCAUUGCCUAGCGCCUAGGCAAGCCUAAGCGCCUCCUAGGCACUGCCUUUUCCAACAGAGGCUGUUGGUGAAAAAGGAUCGGUGCUAUAGCGGUAGGCGUCUGGUGGCUAUGCAGUGGCAUCCGCUACUUAGAUACGUAGCCGGCAACAGUGAGAAGACUUUGAUCUUGAUAUAUUAGAUGUAAGCCCCAUACACCAUAGGAGGUCCUCCUUUUGGUGAUAUCGGCUGGUGAGCUUUCUCCAUCUUCACCCUCUAACACACAUUGGUUCUGCAUUAUGUAUAUGUGGUUUUGAUAAGAAAGGAAUGUUUCUAUCUGAAUGUUAUCCAGUUAUUCUUUCUUUGUCUAAAUCGAUUUAGUAGAAGAGAUAGAGAGAAGCAAUUUACUGGUGUGGUUCAUUUGGGAAAUUUAGUACUUUGUUAUACUGCUUUGUUUUAGGGGAUGAAGUAAAUAGAACAAGAUAUUCCUGGGAUGGAUCUAUAUGUGCUCGUUAUGAUGUCAUGUAAAUUCCACAACACAUUUGUAUGCGUGUAUCCUUCUUAUAGUUAUAGUCAUGCUUGACAGCCUGCAGGCUGAGGCUAACAAUUCUUUUCGUCUCUAUGCCCCUUAUUUCAGUGCAUUGUGCUACUGUAUACUACUGUUACAAUGACAUGUGCAUUUAGUAAAAUCCCUUAAUUAUGGCAACAUGUAAAAAAUAAAUGUUUCCUGAGUGCGGACUGUGGUAUAGAUCCGUGCAAGUUCUGAAACCUGCAAGUACCGAAUUACAUAAUAAUUUUGUAGGAUGAUAAAAAAGAAGAAGGUGAUGAUUCAGUUAUCAAGAGGAUGUGUGAACUCUGAACCUGAAGGACAGGAAAUAAAACAUGAGGAGGAUAAUGGAGGAGAAGAAGAAGCAGACAUUAGGAUAAUAAUGAAAGAGAAUGAGUAGAUAAUAAGAAUGGUAUUGAAAGAGAAGACGAGAUGCACCUUGGCUAAGUAAAGAGCUAGACCUGAAAUUGCCAAUGAAGGGAAUGAGGUCCCUUUCUCUAUUGGUGCCAUCUUAGCUGCCGACUGCCGUCGGUUAGGUGCAUAUUUCGUGAGAUAAUCUCGUUCUAACAUGUCUCUGAUUUUGAUUUUUUUCUGCGGAUUUCAGAAUAUAGAAGGCAGCUUCUCAGAGGGGUCACUGACGAGUAAGUGAAAUAAGUCCUCGAGCAGGUUUCAGUGAAGACUACUGAUCUAGAAGUGACGUAUGUUCAUGAACAAUUUUCUGCUGCUGAAAUAAGUCCAGAGCAGGCUUCAGUGAGGACUACUGAUCUAGAAGCUGUAUGUUCAUGAACAAUUUUCUAUUGCUCUGACUAAACGGAUUGUCUCUGUAAUUCUUGUAUGUUUGGGUGGUGCCCAGCUACCAAUAGAAGACAAGCCGUCUUCUUGCUGAACAACGCCACAAUUGUGUAGUUGUAUGUUAUUUAGGAUUGUCUCUGUUGCAUACGACCUGGGGUUACAAGAGGUCCGGUACUAAUUUUGUGUAUGUAUCUCUUCUAUAUACACAUGAUUUCAAAGCAUAUUUUAUAGUA